CAUAUUUUGCCAAAUCCAGGGCAAGCAUAACCAUUGUCCGCAGGUGGUCGAUUUAGAUUUUCUUUUCGCCGUCUGUUCUCGACAGCAGAUUUUCUUUUGGUUUUAAAAUGUGUAUCCCGCGGCCUUCGUAAGUGACCUCCAGCUGUCUCGUUCUGAGGCCGCAUGCAACCAGGUGCUCUCAUCUGUCAGCCAAGGAAAGUUGACGCCUAAGCUGGUCUUUGAAGCGUUUCCGCGGGGAAAAAAAUGGGGGUGGGGAAGAUUUAGAUCUAGUUGCUCCAUAAAUCUAGAAUCUAUGUAAGAAGAAUAGAACUACAGAAAACUGAAAAAUAUCCUUGGUAACUGAUAAUUUAGUUUAUUUGAUUUCGUGGCUUUUCAAAAAAAAAACUUUUUUAAGCUUACGUACAGUCAACUCAUUUGUUUUGAAAUCACGGAAAUGGCAACACUCAAUGUUUGUCGUAGAAAUUGAGGGAAAAUUGAUAGAUUUCAAAUUCCCAUAUAGAUAUCUAGAUCUAGAUCUAUCAAGUCUAGAUCUAGAUGAUUCUGUUGAUUCUCUUGCAAUUGAAAUUAGUAAACAGAUUCUAACUGACGAUUUCGGAGUGCAAAGCCCAGAAAUAGACCAUCAUUUAGACAAAUUCUCAUGCACCUUGAGAUUGCCUCUGCUGAAUUACUUCGGUUCAGUCGGGAGGACUUUUCUGAAUCUCAAGAAAUUUGGAGGAAAGAGAUUUGUGAAAAUUUCCAAAAAAUGAAAGCUGAAGGUUCCAAUUUACCCCAGCUAGAAGAAGAGCUUAUAAAAAGAAGAAAAGAAGAAUUAAGGAUGUCAGAGAGCAUUAUGAAAGCAAGUUGAACAAUUUGUAUAUGGAAUUAACAGCUUGUAUGCUGCAACUGGAAAAGAGAGAACGGGAGCUCAUCAAGUAAGGACAUGUUCUUUGGUGUUAAUGUUAGUCAUGCUUUACAAUGUUUUAGGGGUGCUUUUCUCAACCUGUGGGCCAUAUCACAAAAGGACCCGCUGACAAGGACUUGACUUAUUCCUGUGCACUCCCAGUGGAGCAUAGGGCCACAAUCACACCUCUCCACCAAACUCAGUUCUGAGCAGCUUUCUUCACUUGUCAUUCAAGUACCCUCAGCUUCACUGAUGACUGACCUCUUCCAGGUUUGUGUGGGUCUGCCCACUUUCCUCUUUCCUUGCGGAUUUCAAUCAAGUGCGUACCUUACAACAUCGGUAGCUGGUUUUCGCAGGGUGUGUCCUAUCCAGCUCCACUUUGGCUUUGUGAUGUCUUGGGCUAUGGGCUUUAGUCUAAUUCUCUCCCACAAAUUGCUGACAAGGAGCAGUCACAUAUCUGGUCCCUUUUUUUUUUUAAACUUUCUUAUGGCAGUAUUAAUAAAAUUACUUUAUAUUGUACAAUUAAAUUUUACUAAGAUUAUAUGUCAGUUAUUUUUAUUUAUAUUAUAUUUAUGUUAAUUUUUGUUGUAAAUGUUCUUUUUCAACGGAUACACAUUUAGAUACAAGUAAAGUAACUUUAAUGUUGCGUAUACUACCACUUUGGAAAGCCUUACUAUUUUACUAUUGAUAUAGAUGUUUUGUAUGAACCACAGCAUAAGCACAGUAUAUUCUAUUAUAGAUGUAUCUAAAUAAGUGUUUCCCAAAUAUUGGAAUAUAAAUAUUGCACAUUGGAAAAAAAAUUUAGCUGAAUAUUUAUCUUAUUUUUAAGGU